AAAUUGAAGAGUUUGAUCAUGGCUCAGAUUGAACGCUGGCGGCAGGCCUAACACAUGCAAGUCGAACGGUAACAGAAAGCAGCUUGCUGCUUUGCUGACGAGUGGCGGACGGGUGAGUAAUGUCUGGGAAACUGCCUGAUGGAGGGGGAUAACUACUGGAAACGGUAGCUAAUACCGCAUAACGUCGCAAGACCAAAGAGGNGGACCUUCGGGCCU
rnacentral:rRNA from 1 species